GGCAAUCCACUCGGACUCCCCUCUCUGCUGUGGAGCAUUUCUUCUCUCUCUUAUUAAACUUUUGCUCCACCCCCACCCUUGUGUCCAUGCUCAAUUUUCUUGGACGCAGGACAAAGAAGCCAGGUACUAGUUCAGAGAACAAGAAACUGCUACAUUAUGGUGCAUUGGCAAAACUACAACAUAUUUAGGUGCAGGAAGAAGGGAUCAUCAGAAGGAGGCCAUCAAGCUCCAAAUGGUAAAGUAAAUGGAACCACACAUUAAACGCACCUUUUUUCUGAGGACCCUUAAACCAGCCUCGGGAGGAAUCCUAGCUGCUGUUCCUCACACAAUGCUCCUCUCCAGCAAGAAAUAGCCAGAAAGAUCAAUGCCCAAUCUCCCUAACAGCAGUUAGAGUUCCCACUUCUGAAGUGGGGAAUGAGGGUGAGGGAAAAGAAAAAAUCAGUUGGGGCAAACUUACAGUGUAGAAGCGGUCUGCCUGAAAAGUCACAGCAAUGGGCAAAAACAAAACAAUCUGGGACAAAAACUCAGGCUGCACCUGCACACAGAGAAGCAGACAGCGUCCAGAAAAGAAGCCGUUUGUUCUUCGUAUAAUUAGCAAGCUCCCAGGAAAAAGUUUCCUCCCCUUUUGAGGCAUAUACAUGGUGGGCUCCACAGAAACUUGCACAGGGAAGACGGGGGCUUACCUAAAACAAACCCACAGUUAUACAGAAAAGAGAAGUGGCGCUUUGUGCUUGCCUAGAGACAUACCCACAGCUGCAUAAGAUAAGGGGAGUUGCACAGACAGCUUUACUGAUAGGAGAAGUUACUCAAACUGCUACAGAGAUGAGAAGAGUUUCUUAUAAAAGCUUCUGGAGUCAGCUGUAACUCGGCAAUCCACUCGGACUCCCCUCUCCGCUGCGAAGUGCUUUCUUUCGCUUAUUAAACUUUCACUCCACCCCCACCCUUGUGUCCAUGCUCCUUAAUUUUUUUGGAUGCAGGACAAAGAACCCCGGGUACUUGUUCAGACAACGAGAAACCGCUACUUUAAGGUGCACUGGCAAAACUGCAACAGAACAAGUUAAGUCCACAUGGCUCCACAUUCUGUGGAGGAGGACAUGUUCCUCUUCCACAGAAAAGGGAAGUAGAAGCUCUUCUACUAGGGAGAGGUAGGAAAUCUGGAGGGAACAAGGGGAUAGAAGGUAACAAAAGCAGAUGAAGGAACGGAUUUGUGCGCAGCCUCCAUUUCCCAGCUUUGGAGGAGACUAUCCAAUAGAAGGUGGUUGCCAUGUGAAAGAGAAACCAUGCUGAAGUGUACUUGGGCAGGAGACCUAGAGACAACUUCCCUUUCCACAUCUGCUGUGCAGUCUCCCUUGGCUGUAGGGUGCAGCCAGGGAGCCCAGACGUUUCCACAUGCUUCCAGUGGGGAACAUGGAUGGUAGCUAAGAGUUGAGAGCCAGUGGCCUGCCAGGGGUCACAGUAAUAAGGAAUAGGAUGACAUGUGGCAACUCUAUGGGAUGGAAGGCUUAAGACACGACAGGCUCUUGUAGACAAGCGGGCUUCAGAGGAUCCACAGUACCAGUGAGGGCCAAAAUGGAGAUAAGUCCCCAUAGUGGGUCUGGUGAGGAAAGGACCGUUGGUCCCAAAGGCAGCAAGAGAACUGAAUAGAAGUUACUGCAGCAGGGGUUCCUUCAGCAGCAGAUGAAAGGGUGCCAGUAUACCCGGGAAGACAGGCACACCUACCCAGAACCAGGAGGAGGCAGCAGAGACAGAGGUAAGCAGGCCAGAACCAUCUAAAACAUGUUCCUCAAGGGUGCACAAUCCUCCUGUCACCAGGAUGCUAGAGAGAAAAGGAAGAGAGGAAAAGAGACCCUCUGGAGCACAGAAACAGCCCAGAGAGGGAGUCUGAAUUUUGGGCCGACUGGAUUGGACACUUAUCCCAAAUGAAAGCUUCAGCCCAACACAAAUUGAGCUACCUUCAAUUACAAGCUUUCAUUUGCCACCGUCAACCUGAAGGCAGGAUCUUAAAGUUUAGCUCUUUUCUGGUUUGUCACUGUGAGAUGAAGCCACUGGGUAGAGCACACAGAAGUAGUAUUUAUAAUACACAAAGCCUUGCUAUUAAGAUUUAGUAAGAAAGAAAUGCCCAUUGUAUUGAGGUAAAACCCCCUAUUCUGCAUCAUUCCUCUCACUUUACUGGUGUAGAAUUUGUAAUAAGUUCUAAUAAGAAGGACAACAUUUAAAUGGAUGGGCCCUGAUAUAUAUUUUUGACUAAUUUCUCCUCUUUGGUAUCUCAUUUCCCAAGAAAGCUUUAAAAUCCUCUAACACCAAGGACAGUACUGGUUCAGCUACAUUGUAGAACUGCUCUGAUCACAUAUACUCACAUUCAGAUUACAGGCUUGCAAUGAUUAGAGUUAUUCUUAGAGUAAUUUUACAGAAUAUUUUCAGGGUAGCUAUCUGG
rnacentral:lncRNA from 1 species